UAAGCGUACACGGUGGAUGCCCUGGCAGUCAGAGGCGAUGAAGGACGUGCUAAUCUGCGAUAAGCGUCGGUAAGGUGAUAUGAACCGUUAUAACCGGCGAUUUCCGAAUGGGGAAACCCAGUGUGAUCCGUCACACUAUCAUUAACUGAAUCCAUAGGUUAAUGAGGCGAACCGGGGGAACUGAAACAUCUAAGUACCCCGAGGAAAAGAAAUCAACCGAGAUUCCCCCAGUAGCGGCGAGCGAACGGGGAG
rnacentral:rRNA from 1 species